rnacentral:tRNA from 1 species
GAAAUAAAAAUAGUUGCCUGCUGCUGGAAUCUAACCAGCGUCGCCACGGCCACAACGUGGAGUACUAACCACUAUACUAAGCAGGCCGAAAG